ACAUGACUAAACAUGACUCAAGGGCCGAUUGGGCAGUCAGAUAUUAAGUCAAAACUAGGUUGGAUUGACGAGCAUGAGAUAUAAUUUGCCACAACUAGCUUAGCUUUGGGAAAGGAAGUGUCCCGUAACAAGAAAGAGCAUAGAAAACUGCCAUUCAAGCGCUUAUCAAUGCCUCAGCCACCCAAACUCUUCUUUGAUCUAUCAAGUUUGUAGACUUGAGUUUUAGAAGUGCAGUAUUAUCAUCCAUUAAAUUUAAAGUGUCUUGCAUUCUAGCAAGUCAACCAUGUAUCAAACUCGAUCACUGCAAGUAUGGUUUAAUACUAGUUUUUCAAAAACAUGAUAGCUUAACAUCAUUAGAGUUGCAAUGCAUAUGAGUGAACGGUUGGUGGUAGAGAACCGGAAAAAGUAUUAAAAUGUUAAGGCUCCUUCAAGAUUUUCUGAAUUUAAAAUAGAGUCUUAUCUUUAAACAAUUGUUUUCCAUAGGGAGAUUAACGAAGUGCAGAAGGGGAGUUGGUGGUGUUCUGAUUUCACUCACGGAUAGCAUCCGAAGCAAACAAAGUAUUUAUUGUCGUUGAGUAACUGAUUAAGGUUUGGUUGAGGUGAUUAUGCAUUAGCUCCUACAACAGGCACCAUUAUGUAAGCCAUUGGAGCAUAUCGGUUUGCUGCUGUUGCAAGUGCUGCUAGUAGAGUGAUGUAGGUUCUGUUGCACUUGUUGCAUCAUUUGGAGAUAUCUUUUGAUAGAAGCUUAUGUAUUUGGCAUUUAAAUUUUAAAUUUAUGUAUGGAUUUUGGUUUAUUAUUGUUAAUAUUAUUUGGUUUUUAAGUUUUCUU
rnacentral:lncRNA from 1 species